UUCGGGGGGACGAGGGUGGACAGGUGGUGCAUGGUUGUCGUCAGCUCGUGUCGUGAGAUGUUGGGUUAAGUCCCGCAACGAGCGCAACCCUCGACCUUAGUUGCCAGCAUUCAGUUGGGCACUCUAAGGUGACUGCCGGCUAAAAGUCGGAGGAAGGUGGGGGAUGACGUCAAAUCAUCAUGCCCCUUAUGACCUGGGCUACACACGUGCUACAAUGGGCGGUACAAAGGGUCGCGAACCCGCGAGGGGGAGCCAAUCCCAAAAAGCCGCUCUCAGUUCGGAUUGCAGGCUGCAACUCGCCUGCAUGAAGCCGGAAUCGCUAGUAAUCGCGGAUCAGCAUGCCGCGGUGAAUACGUUCCCGGGCCUU
rnacentral:rRNA from 1 species